rnacentral:sRNA from 1 species
GAUAAACCUAUUUUCGGCAUCGAUAAG